rnacentral:rRNA from 1 species
GAUGAACGCUGGCGGCGUGCCUAAUACAUGCAAGUCGAGCGAACGGACGAGAAGCUUGCUUCUCUGAUGUUAGCGGCGGACGGGUGAGUAACACGUGGAUAACCUACCUAUAAGACUGGGAUAACUUCGGGAAACCGGAGCUAAUACCGGAUAAUAUUUUGAACCGCAUGGUUCAAAAGUGAAAGACGGUCUUGCUGUCUCUUAUAGAUGGAUCCGCGCUGCAUUAGCUAGUUGGUAAGGUAACGGCUUACCAAGGCAACGAUGCAUAGCCGACCUGAGAGGGUGAUCGGCCACACUGGAACUGAGACACGGUCCAGACUCCUACGGGAGGCAGCAGUAGGGAAUCUUCCGCAAUGGGCGAAAGCCUGACGGAGCAACGCCGCGUGAGUGAUGAAGGUCUUCGGAUCGUAAAACCCUGUUAUUAGGGAAGAACAUAUGUGUAAGUAACUGUGCACAUCUUGACGGUACCUAAUCAGAAAGCCACGGCUAACUACGUG